AUUGAACGCUGGCGGCAUGCUUUACACAUGCAAGUCGAACGGCAGCACGGACUUCGGUCUGGUGGCGAGUGGCGAACGGGUGAGUAAUACAUCGGAACGUACCCAGUAAUGGGGGAUAACUAUCCGAAAGGAUAGCUAAUACCGCAUACGCCCUACGGGGGAAAGAGGGGGAUCGCAAGACCUCUUGUUAUUGGAGCGGCCGAUGGCUGAUUAGCUAGUUGGUGAGGUAAAGGCUCACCAAGGCGACGAUCAGUAGCGGGUCUUAGAGGACGAUCCGCCACACUGGAACUGAGACACGGUCCAGACUCCUACGGGAGGCAGCAGUGGGGAAUCUUGGACAAUGGGCGCAAGCCUGAUCCAGCAAUGCCGCGUGCGUGAAGAAGGCCUUCGGGUUGUAAAGCGCUUUUGUCAGGGAGCAAAAGGUGGUGGCUAAUAUCCAUCGCUCUUGAGAGUACCUGAAGAAUAAGGACCGGCUAACUACGUGCCAGCCGCCGCCGUAA
rnacentral:rRNA from 1 species